GUGUUAAAGAAGGUCAACUCUUUAAGCAUCUUUAGGGUUAGCCAAAAUUUUUACUUAUCUUAAAAUCCAUGUGUUUGUGUGUGAAAAAAUUGAUAUAGACUUCUACAAAUAUUUGUUUAACUCAUAGCUAAUAUUGGCAUGCAUACGAACUAUAAAGUUGUAUACUAUGCAAAGGGUUCCAAAACCAAAUCCAUAACCAUGCACAAAAUAGUACCUUAUAUCAAAGAGAGCCAUUACUCCACACGUGAACUAAUAUUUACAAUAAAUGGACAUAC
rnacentral:lncRNA from 1 species